AGCUUCAGUAGCGUAUAUUAAAGUUGUUGCAUUUGAAAAGCUCGUAGUUGAUGUUUCACUUGCCAUUCUUGUUCGCUUUGCGUUUCAAGGUCUGGUGGGGUGGUUCUUGGUGGCGACACCAUUUUCACUGUGAAUAAAUUAGAGUGAUCCAAACAGGCUGCGCCUGAAUGCUUCAGCAUGGUAUGGGUUCUUGGCAACGCUUUCCUUACUCUUAUGGGGUGUGGAAGUGCGGAGUAAAGGUUAAUAGAGACAGAUGAUGGGAUUCGUAUUGAGUUGCUAGAGGUGAAAUUCUUGGACCAACUCAAGACGACCUGAAGCGAAAGCUUUUUCCACAGAUGCUCUUA
rnacentral:rRNA from 1 species